ACACGUAGGGGGCGAGCGUUAUCCGGAUUCAUUGGGCGUAAAGCGCGCGCAGGCGGCCGCUCAAGCGGGACCUCUAAUCCCGGGGCUCACCCCCGGGCCGGGUCCCGAACUGGGCGGCUCGUGCCCGGUAGGGGAGGUCGGAAUUCCCGGUGCAGCGGCGGACUGCGCAGAUAUCGGGAAGAACACCGAUGGCGAAGGCAGGCCUCUGGGCCGCGACAGACGCUGAGGCGCGAAAGCUAGGGGAGCGAACAGGAUUAGAUACCGUGGUAGUCCUAGCCGUAAACGAUGACAGCUAGGUGUGGGGGCAGGCCUUGCCCCCGUGCCGCAGCCAACGCAUUAAGCUGUCCGCCUGGGGAGUACGGCCGCAAGGCUAAAACUCAAAUGAAUUGGCGGGG
rnacentral:rRNA from 1 species